GGGGUUGUGGCUCAGUGGUAGGGCACUCAUCUAGCGUAUGUGAGGCCCUGGGUUCAAUCCUCAGCACCA
rnacentral:tRNA from 1 species